rnacentral:lncRNA from 1 species
UUCAAGUAUGGUGAUUCAGGUUUGGCCUUGAUCUUGUUACACGAGGAGAAAUUGAUUUACUGAAAAGACCAUUAAACGAUUAAUGGUAAGAUGCAUUUUGUCUGAGAGUAGACGUUAAUGUAAAUCAUUUGAAAUUCAAACUACAAUACGAUAGCCUGAUAAAAUCAAUCAAAAGGACAGUCAUUAUCUCGAAAUGAAAUUCGGUUACCGACACCUGAGGCUCUCUGUCCUAACUUUAAGGAUUCAAUGCCGCGAAAUAUAUUUACAUUGCCAAAUUCUCUACCGUUCGCUCUGAAAUGCUCCAGUGCCCAGGCUUGAGUCAGUUGACUUUGCAGUGUCGAAAUACAGCCAUGGAUAGCACCAAAAAAUUUGCCAACGCCAAGUGCCGUUGGCGAAUUUCGCAACCAGACGCUGGAGCAGCAGUACCGUGCGUAUAAAUAAUGAUGCCAAUUUAUUCAGAAGCUUUAGAACCCGACAUCAAUUAUGAGAAUUGAGACAGAUGAAACAAAUAUUUGCUGACAACAUGCGUGCCUGGAUUGCCGUUGACCACAGGUGGUUGUUACUAAUGAAGCCUUCAUUACGGAAAGAAUUCCUGUACCAAGAGCGUAUCAAAUCGGCAUUCACGUUCUUUCUUUACGUGAAAAAUGAAAUCGAAUCUGGCUUCGAUAGUAGGAAAAUAAAAAAAUCAGAACCUGAUAAAUAUUACGCAGUGAAACUCA